rnacentral:rRNA from 1 species
AUACGUAGGUGGCAAGCGUUGUCCGGAUUUAUUGGGCGUAAAGCGAGCGCAGGCGGUUUCUUAAGUCUGAUGUGAAAGCCCCCGGCUUAACCGGGGAGGGUCAUUGGAAACUGGGAGACUUGAGUGCAGAAGAGGAGAGUGGAAUUCCAUGUGUAGCGGUGAAAUGCGUAGAUAUAUGGAGGAACACCAGUGGCGAAGGCGACUCGCGGGUCGGUAACUGACGCUGAGGCUCGAAAGCGUGGGGAGAAAACAGGAUUAGAUACCCUGGUAGUCCACGCCGUAAACAAUGAGUGCUAAGUGUUGGAGGGUUUCCGCCCUUCAGUGCUGCAGCUAACGCAUUAAGCACUCCGCCUGGGGAGUACGGCCGCAAGGCUGAAACUCAAAGGAAUUGACGGGG